rnacentral:rRNA from 1 species
GACGAACGCUGGCGGCGUGCUUGACACAUGCAAGUCGAACGGUGAAGCACCUUCCUUUUGGUGGGUGUGGAUGAGUGGCGAACGGGUGAGUAACACGUGAGUAACCUGCCCCCUUCUUCUGGAUAACCGCAUGAAAGUGUGGCUAAUACGGGAUAUUCUGGGUCUGUCGCAUGGCGGGCCUGGGAAAGAUAUUGUUUCGGUGGGGGAUGGGCUCGCGGUCUAUCAGCUUGUUGGUGGGGUGAUGGCCUACCAAGGCGGUGACGGGUAGCCGGCCUGAGAGGGUGGACGGUCACACUGGGACUGAGACACGGCCCAGACUCCUACGGGAGGCAGCAGUGGGGAAUAUUGCACAAUGGGCGCAAGCCUGAUGCAGCGACGCCGCGUGAGGGAUGGAGGCCUUCGGGUUGUAAACCUCUUUCGCCAGUGAAGCAGGCCUGUCCCUUUUGUGGGUGGGUUGACGGUAGCUGGAUAAGAAGCGCCGGCUAACUACGUG